rnacentral:tRNA from 1 species
GGAGGGUAUAGCUCAGUGGUAGAGUGCCUGCUUAGCAUGCAUAAGGUCCUGGGUUCAAUCCCCAGUACCUCCA